UACGAAGGGGGCUAGCGUUGCUCGGAAUCACUGGGCGUAAAGCGCACGUAGGCGGCUUUCUAAGUCAGGGGUGAAAUCCUGGAGCUCAACUCCAGAACUGCCUUUGAUACUGGAGAGCUUGAGUCCGGGAGAGGUGAGUGGAACUCCGAGUGUAGAGGUAGAAAUUCGUAGAUAUUCGGAAGAACACCAGUGGCGAAGGCGGCUCACUGGCCCGGUACUGACGCUGAGGUGCGAAAGCGUGGGGAGCAAACAGGG
rnacentral:rRNA from 1 species